rnacentral:misc_RNA from 1 species
CAUUUAUCCUGCCCAUACGGCUAUGGGAGUAUGAAGUAUUUUCUUUAAGCAUCUCAGUAGAGCUAUCAUCAACCUCUCUUGCAAUUUGUGUUAUUUCUGUGUCAACAGAAAGAACAAGUUUCUUGUUUACAAUAGCNNNNNNNNNNNNAUUGUAGAACAGGCACCACACCGGAUCUUUUGUUGAUUCUUCCCCAUGAGCAAUGCUUUCUUGGGAAAUCGCAACAGUUCAAAGCAGAUAAAACAAGUAAAAAAUGGAGCACCACCGAUUAUGGGACGAUAGCAUCGGCCACCAUUGGCUAAUACCACUCUCCGAGGCCGAUAGCGAGCAAAACCACCCAUUUCAGAGUUAGGAUCACUUGGCCAUCUUGUGUAGUAUUGGGGACCACGAAAAUCCAUUGGAGGAACAGUAGUCCUGGAAUUAGGAACAUGUGGGCCAAAUGCCUCAGGGUUUUCAUGUUGGUACAGCAUACGAUUGUUUGAAACAUCAGCAAACCUUUUAUUACAGAAAGCAGUGGGUAGAACUGGUGCUGAAACUCCCUGAUAUCUCUCAUAACAAUGAAAACAAGAACAUGAAGGCUGGUGAAAGGUUGCAUUGGAUGUGUAUGGCUCAAAUGGAUCCGGAUUAGUAUCACAGAUAUGCCUAGAGAAGUAUUGACGGGAUGGUUGUUGGCAAUGUCCAGAUAACUGAUGUGGAGCUCUUUUGAGCACAAAUGUAUCCCCAAACCCAGGAAUCUGAUUUGACUUCUGCAUUGAAGGAUAAAAAUUAUGCAUAGCCAUUUCAUGCGCAUUGGUAUAAGGAAAUGGAUCAGGGUGAUGAUGGAAAUAAGGAGGCCUGGCUGCAUGUCGAUCGGGUGCAAAAAACUGCAUAGAAGGCCUAUCAGGCAUUGAUGAAGCACCAGGAAACCAAGUAUCAGAAUCAGCAUAAGGAUCUGGUGGAGCCAUUCUCCCAUUAAGAGGAACCUUCUCCUUGGUUUUA